rnacentral:ncRNA from 2 species
ACUUUGAAAUAGUAUGUGAAAUUGUUGAAAGGGAAACGAUUGAAGCCAGUUGUACAUAUGGGUAAUCAGCCUUUUGGGUGUGAUUUUGUGGAGCGUGAGGAGUUAACCGCCUUCAUGCCUGCAUAUUCGUGCACUUUGGGUGUACUUGCCCGUAUGGUUAGUUAACAUCAAUUUUGGUGGUCAUAAAAUGACUGGAGGAAUGUAGCUUCGAUCUUGUAUUGAAGUGUUAUAGCCUUCGGUAGAUGUGAUGAUCGAGAUUGAGAAUUGCAACGGAUACCCUUUGGGCUACCUUUCUGAUCUCUGAUCAUUACUCUGGUGCCGAAAGCUUGCUUACAGUUAUCAAAGUCGAUGGUCAAUAGGUUAGAACAGGUUAAAUUCGUUAAGGAUGUUGACGUAAUGGCUUUAAAUGACC